rnacentral:rRNA from 1 species
AUUGAACGCUGGCGGCAGGCCUAACACAUGCAAGUCGAACGAGUGGCGGACGGGUGAGUAAUGUCUGGGAAACUGCCUGAUGGUGGGGGCUAACUACUGGAAACGGUAGCUAAUACCGCAUACCAUCGGAUUUGCCCAGAUGGGAUUAGCUAGUUGGUGGGGUAAAUGCUCACCUAGGCCACGAUCCCUAGCUGGUCUGAGAGGAUGAACAGCCACCCUGGAACGGAGACACGGUCCAGACUCCUACGGGAGGCAGCAGUGGGGAAUAUUGCACAAUGGGCGCAAGCCUGAUGCAGCCAUGCCGCGUGUAGGAAGAAGGCCUUCGGGUUGGAAAGUACGUUCAGCGGGGAGGCGUUACCCGCAGAAGAAGCACCGGCUAACUCCGUGCCAGCCGCCGCGGUAAUAC